UUAAGUCCCGCAACGAGCGCAACCCUAUCUUAUGUUGCCAGCACGUUAUGGUGGGGACUCGUAAGAGACUGCCGGGGUCAACUCGGAGGAAGGUGGGGACGACGUCAAGUCAUCAUGCCCCUUAUGUCCAGGGCUUCACACAUGCUACAAUGGCCAGUACAGAGGGCUGCGAGACCGUGAGGUGGAGCGAAUCCCUUAAAGCUGGUCUCAGUUCGGAUCGGGGUCUGCAACUCGACCCCGUGAAGUCGGAGUCGCUAGUAAUCGCAGAUCAGCAACGCUGCGGUGAAUACGUUCCCGGGCCUU
rnacentral:rRNA from 1 species